rnacentral:rRNA from 1 species
CGUCUAGGCGGAUCUGUAAGUCAGGUGUGAAAUCCCUCGGCUCAACCGGGGAACUGCACUUGAUACUGCAAGUCUUGAGUUCGGAAGAGGAAAGCGGAAUUCCUGGUGUAGCGGUGAAAUGCGUAGAUAUCAGGAAGAACACCGGUGGCGAAGGCGGCUUUCUGGUCCGAUACUGACGCUGAAGCGCGAAAGUGUGGGGAGCAAACAGGAUUAGAUACCCUGGUAGUCC